UUUGGGUGAAGGUUAACAGUAGGGUUCCCCCAGCCCGAUAGCGCACGAGCCCCGUGGGGGAAAGAUGAAGCGCACUUUGGAAAGAGUGUUAAAAGUACGUGAAAUUGUCGAAAGGAGCGCACUUGAUCUCAGCCGUUGUGUUUGAGUCUGAGCGGCGUUUUUGCUUGGUGUAUUUCUCGGUAGCAAGCCAGCAUUGGUUUGGGUCGUCGGAGAAGCGCAUGGGGAAUGUGGCGUUUUCGGAUGUGUUAUAGCCUUGUGCAGGAUACGACGACGUGGACCAAGGAACGCAGUGUGCCCUCCUGGGCGGGUCUUCGGACACCUUCACACUU
rnacentral:rRNA from 1 species